GACGAACGCUGGCGGCAGGCCUAACACAUGCAAGUCGAGCGAGGACUUCGGUCCUAGCGGCGGACGGGUGAGUAACGCGUGGGAACGUGCCCUUUGCUACGGAAUAGCCCCGGGAAACUGGGAGUAAUACCGUAUGUGCCCUUCGGGGGAAAGAUUUAUCGGCAAAGGAUCGGCCCGCGUUGGAUUAGGUAGUUGGUGGGGUAAUGGCCUACCUAGCCGACGAUCCAUAGCUGGUUUGAGAGGAUGAUCAGCCACACUGGGACUGAGACACGGCCCAGACUCCUACGGGAGGCAGCAGUGGGGAAUCUUAGACAAUGGGGGAAACCCUGAUCUAGCCAUGCCGCGUGAGCGAUGAAGGCCUUAGGGUUGUAAAGCUCUUUCAGUGGGGAAGAUAAUGAUUGUACCCACAGAAGAAGCCCCGGCUAACUCCGUGCCAGCCGCCGAAGUAACAC
rnacentral:rRNA from 1 species